rnacentral:lncRNA from 1 species
GAAUUUGGACCUAGCUAUGAUAAACUUGCUUCCCUUGCCACUAAACAACAAAGAGCUUUGGAAAAAGUUCAUUACAUGCUAAAUAAGAGCGAUGAUAUGUUGGGUGAAGAAAUGGAUCAGUCAAAAGCCUUGGCUGAAAGUCUUCACGGACUCCAUUCCAAGUUUGACGAUCUUCAAGGUCAUCAUAAUGCUCUCUUAUCUGAUCACGAGAAACUUUCUCUUGAACUUCUUCAAAGAAAGCAAGAUCUUGAGAAUCUAAGAGUGAGUUAUGAAGAUCUUAAGAAGGAUCGCGAUUCAUUACUUGCUCAACAAAUCAGCACUUCUCAGGAAGAAUUUGUUCCUCCAUGCUUAAAGUGCAUUGAACGUGAAUCUGCUAAUUCAUCACCUAAAUGUUCAAAUGCUUCAACUGUUACAAAUUCUUCACAUGCCUCUGCUAUCACUAAUUCCUCAUCUGAGGACAUUGCUAGUAUCACUAAUGAUGCAGGGCUGAAGGAAUUGUACACGACAGGCAUGUACAAAAGCCUCAAAGGGCAUCAGAUUCUUUGUGAUGUGCUCAAAAAGCAGAUCCUCAACAGAAACCCUAGGAAAGAGGGUAUUGCCUUUGAGAGGAAACUCAAUGCUGAUGGGACAUAUUGGAAGCCUGAGCAGUACCCCAAAACCUCAUGGGUUGCUGCAAAGGGACCUCCAGUUGAUCCAUCCAACUUAUCUGGCUCUACAUGUGAAUCUCCUCAUUCUUCUGAUGAGUCAUUUGACUCCAACUAUAAACUGUUCAAAACUCAGAAUGGUGAAGUAUUUGCUAGAUAUGUUGGGACUAACUGCAGGAACGGUUCCCCUAUGAAGAAAAUCUGGGUCCCCAAAAGUUAUGUUGAAAGUCUUCAGGUGGAUGUCCUCAUGAUACCACCUGUGAAGAAUAGGAACCCCAGAUCAAACUCUUCAUAUGGACCUAAUUCUUCAUAUGGAUCCAAGUCCUCAUACGGACAAAAUUCCUCAUGUGGAUCAAAUUCCUCAAAUGGAUCAAAGUCCUCAUAUGACUAUCAUCGUGCUAACAAUUUUGUUUCGCAGGGUAGAGCUAAGGGCUAUGAAUAUGCACAUUAUUCUUCAAAUCAUUAUGUUCAUAAGUCCUCGAAGAACUUCUCUGCUUAUUCAUAUGCUUACCCUAACCCCUCUUAUGUGAAACGAAAUGGAUUGGCUUCUAUGCCACCAUUCUCAUAUGGUGCUCGCAGAGUGAUGAACUCUUUGCCACCCCUUCAGAUGUGGGUGGUGAAGAAAAAGAACUAAUCCUUUAUGCAGGGUCAGGUCUCCAGACGUGCUUUAAACGUCUGAAGAAUUUGCUGGAGGCCUAAAAAAAAUGCCUGAAAGGACGCAGGCGAAUCAUGAUGAAAUGAACUUUCAUUUCACACGUCCUCAUACUGCUUAUCUGUGCUAUUGCUUGAUGAAAUUGAACUGAUGAAUUUGAUGUCAUAUUCUUCACUGAUGAAGUAUAUGAGUUCGUAAGAUGCACUAAUUCAUCUGUAGGAUGAUCAGCCCAAAGCAAACGAGUGGGUUCUCGAUAGUGGAUGUACAAAUCACAUGACUGAUGACAAGAACCUAUUGAUGGAUGCUCCCUUAACACCGUCACAUCUGAAGCACAUCAUCUUCGUUGACAAAGGCAAAAGUCAGGUAUUCGGUCUAGGUAAGGUUGUGAUCUCAAAGGUCGACACAUGGACAAAGUCAUGCUUGUCGAGUCCUUAGGAUACAACCUCAUGUCUGUCUUAAUGCUUUGUGAUCUUGAUAUGGUUGUUGUAUUUGGCAAUUAUUGUUGUGUUGUGAUCAUGGAAGCUGACCAUUCCAAAGUCUUCGAAGGCUUUAGGAGAGGAGAUCUGUAUAUUGUUGAUUUCUCUACAGGACCACAACCAUCCGUGUGCUUACUUGCAAAAGCUUCAGAAGGCUGGCUAUGGCAUCGACGACUUGGUCACGCUGGCAUGAGGAAUCUGAACACGCUUGCGAAGAAGAAGCAUGUCAUUGGCAUUGAGAAUGUCAAAUUCCUCAAGGAUCACUUAUGCGGAGCUUGUGAAGCUGGAAAGAUGACAAAGGCCAAGCAUCCAGCGAAGACUAUCAUGACCACUACUCGUCCAUUUGAAUUGCUUCACAUGGAUCUCUUUGGUCCCAAUCAUUAUUCUGCUGUUUCAAAUGAUGCAUCCUAUAUGGCUUUGUUAUUGUUGAUGACUAUUCUCGUUACACAUGGGUACACAUUGUCACUUACAAACAUGAAGUGCAGGAAAUCUUCAAACGAUUUUUCUCGAGGGCUUCAACCAACUUUGGUGUGAAGAUCAAGCACAUCAGAACUGACAAUGGAAUCGAGUUCAAGAAUUCCGGUCUUGAUGGCUAUCUUGAUGAACUUGGUAUUACUCAUGAGUUAUCUGCUCCUUAUACUCCUCAGCAGAAUGGCGUCGUGGAGCGCAAGAACAGAACCCUCGCUGAAAUGGCUUACACUAUGCUUGAUGAAUACAAAACGCCUCGUCGCUUUUGGAUUGAUGCAUUGGUACUGCGUGCCACAUCAUUAAUCGGGUAUAUCUUCACAAAUUCUUCAAGAAGACUGCCUAUGAACUCCUCACUAACAAGAAACCCAAUGUGAGUUAUUUCAAAGUCUUCGGUGCAAAAUGUUGGAUUAGAGAUCCUCAUCACAAUGCUAAAUUUGCACCGAAAGCACAUGAAGGUUUUAUGCUUGGUUACGGAAAGGACUCGCACACCUACAGAGUCUUCAACAACGUUCUUCACAAGGUUGUUGAAACUGUAGAUGUGCGGUUCGAUGAAACUAAUGGCUCGCAAAGAGAGCACCUACCUUCUGUGAUAGAUGAACCAGCACCUGAGGAUUCUAUCAAGUUCAAGGCUACUGAGGAUGUUAUUCCUACCGAAGAAUCUGUUGAAGAAUUCAUUCCAGAACAUGAAGAAAACUGAGCUGGUGCACCUGAUGAAAAUGCUGAAGAAAAUGGUGCUGAAGAAAAUGCUGAUCAAAUUCCUCAAUGACAACCAGCUCAUCCUCGCAUUGCAAAAGAAGUGCAAGUGGAAAAGAUCAUCGAUGACAUUCGAGCAUCAGGUCCUCUCACACGCUCAAAAACUUCACAUUUAUCUAACUUUUGUGGGCACUAUGCUUUUGUCUCUAUUACAGAGCCCACUAAGGUAGAUCAAGCAUUUCUGGAGCCUGAGUGGAUUCGGGCCAUGCAAGAAGAAUUACAUCAGUUCGAGCUUAACAAUGUUUGGGAACUGGUCAAACGCCCAGAUCCUCGCAAGCAUAAUAUCAUCGGCACAAAGUGGAUCUACCGCAACAAGCAAGAUGAAAAUGGCCUUGUGGUGAGGAAUAAGGCACGACUUGUAGCUCAAGGCUACACACAGGUUGAAGGAAUUGAUUUCGAUGAAAUUUUUGCACCUGUUGCUAGACUUGAGGCUAUUCGCAUAUUACUUGCUUAUGCUAACCAUCAUAAUAUUAUCUUACAACAAAUGGAUGUGAAAAGUGCAUUCCUCAAUGGUAAGCUUAAGGAAGAAGUAUAUGUUGCUCAACCCCCAGGUUUUGAAGAUCCAAAGAAUCCUCACAAAGUCUUCAAACUCAACAAGGCCCUGUAUGGCCUCAAGCAGGCCCCUCGGGCAUGGUAUGACACUUUGAAGGAAUUCUUCAUGAAGAAUGGCUUCACACCCGGUUCACUCGACCCUACUCUCUUUACUAAAUCUUAUGAUGGUGAACUGUUUGUGUGUCAAAUAUACGUUGAUGAUAUUAUCUUUGGCUGUACUGACCAACGUUAUAGUGAUGAAUUUGCCUAUAUGAUGAGUGAAGAAUAUCAAAUGUCUAUGAUGGGAGAGUUGAAAUUCUUUUUAGGUCUUCAAAUUCGUCAAUAGCACAAUGGCAUAUUCAUAUCUCAGGAAAAAUACCUCAAGGAAGUUCUGAGGAAAUUUGGCAUGCAAGAUUGCAAAGGCGUCAAAAUUCCUAUGCCCACAAAUGGCCAUCUAUGCACUGAUGAAAAUGGUAUUGACUUCGACCACAAGGUAUACCGCUCCAUGAUUGGUUCGUUAUUGUACUUACGUGCAUCUAGGCCAGAUAUAAUGCUUAGUAUUUGCAUGUGUGCCUGAUUUCAAGCUGCACCGAAGGAAUCACACCAUAAGGCUGUGAAGCAUAUUCUUCGAUAUCUAGCUCACACACCAACACUAGGAUUAUGGUACCCCAAGGGCUCUACUUUUGAUCUCAUUGGAUAUUCUUACUCUGACUAUGCUGGUGAUCGUGUGGACCGCAAGUCAACAUCUGGUACUUGUCAUUUCCUAGGACGAUCUUUGGUCUGUUGGUCCUCGAAGAAACAGAACUGCAUAUCACUGUCUACUGCAGAGGCUGAGUACAUUGCUGUUGGUUCUUGUUGUGCUCAACUGCUAUGGAUGAAGCAAACCCUCAAGGACUACGGCAUCAACGUGAAGAAUGUGCCUCUCCUCUGUGAUAAUGAGAGUGCCAUCAAGAUUGCUCACAACCCAGUUCAGCACUCGAAGACAAAGCACAUUCAGAUUCGUCAUCAUUUUCUUCGUGAUUAUGUGUUGAAGGGCGACAUCUCCAUCGAGCACGUGAAGACUGAAGAACAGCUAGCCGAUAUCUUCACAAAGCCCUUGGAUGAGAGGAGAUUUAGCAAGUUGCGGUGUGAGCUAAAUAUCUUAGAAUCUUCGAAUGUUCUUUGAAAUGGACACACAUCCUGACACUUAUGAAAAAUUGAUGACUUAGAUGUGCAACACAUGAAGAAACAUUUUUCUUCAAUCAAUGAAGAAUAACACUCUAAGUGUGAAGAAAUUAAUGAAGAAUCUGAUUCUCAGAACCCGACGACAAUUGCACGCGGUGUCUAAAAUCAUCAUUCUUAUACGGUGGGUCACGCCACCACCAAAGUUGAAAAUCUUCAUUUUUGAAAUUCCUUAGUUUUUGAAAUUCUUCAGUUUUUCAAAUUCUUCAACUUUGCAAAAUCUUCACUGUUUCCGUCGUUUUUCUUCAUUGGCUAUAUAUAUAUAUAUGAGUUUAUGUCCUAUACAUCAUUCACUUAUGGCUAAUUCUUCAAGUUGCAUUUUCUGCUAAGUGAAUAUGAUCGGACCCUUCCCCCUCUAUGCUAUACUCAAUCCAAUCUAUUCACAAAUUCUUCAUGUGCAUUCUAUUUGAAACUCGUUCAAAAUCUUCACUGUGUCCUUGACAGCUGAAGAAAUUGCGAACGAAACUUUAAAAUUAAUCUUAUCCAAAUUUUCGGUUUUACCGCUCAAUCCAUUCCGGAUCCCACGAUAGACUUAUCUAUUCACCCACGGUCUAACACAAUCUCCACUUCUCAGUACGUGGGUGACACAUGUCAAGCGAAGGAGAAGGGUCAGGGGCAUGUUCGUCCUAAAUCUUCGGGCAAACAGUUUUUCACUACCACUAUAAAUACCCCCUCUCCCCUUCCUCACUUCCUUUACUCCGCUCGACCGCUCUCUCCCUCGCUCGAGCUCCUCAAACCCUAGCGCCGCCGCUACUCCAUCGUCGCCGGUGAGGAAGAGCUUCACUGGCUCGACCUCGUCGCCGUCGUACUCACGCCGACCGCAGAAAUCUUCACUCCGCCGCCGCCGUAGUUGUCUUCCUCCGCCAAGUUAGGGCGUGGAAGAUCUACACCGACGAACUUCAUUGUUCUGCUUCUCAGUUCGUCGUGUUCUUCAUCUAGGGUAAUUAAAAGUUACUUUUACUGCCCUCUUUUGAUUCAAAAUUUCACAACAAAAUCUUCAAAGGUGUUUUAUUCUUCAAAUCCUCACACACAAAACACCUCACUAGUCAUCUGUUCUUGAUUCGUUUCUCUAAGCAUCGUUUUCUUCAAGAUUCCUCAAUCAUGUGGAUCCUCGAUCUAUACAACUCUGGAACCUAAUACAAAGAACGCUUAGUGAAAUUCUUCAAGAUUCAUCUGGUCAAAUUCCUCAAACUUGUUCUUUUUGAAAAACCUUCUGAGAAUGCAUAUGACCUCUCCAAAUUCCUUGCAACUAUACUCUGUUCACAGGUACUCAUGUCCGCUGCUGAAUCACUAGGUUCUCAUCAACUUAACUCAUUUGCAGCGUUCCUCGAAGAAAAGUUGCAUACUUCUUCAGAAAAUUCGAUUGUUCAAAUUCCUCAUCUGAAGAAUAUGGCUGAUGGUAAUAAGCCGCGGAGAGGAGGAAAGAAACCUGAGGUCAUGACUGCUUUUGAAAUACCUGAGGCCAUCUAUGCUGAUUAUUGCACACCUGAUGAGGCUAAGUACGAAAAAGAAACUAAAAAUCGGCGUAAGGUGCGCAUACAGAAGAUUGAACGGAGAUGGGCAAGAGAAUGGAGGGAGUAUAGAUAUGUGACUCCAAAGUAUAUGAAGAAAUUCGCACUUAAUCCUCCAUGCCCAAGAGCUCCAUUGGCACCUGGCCAAGAAGCUGACCCCACCAGCAUCAAGCGUGGUGAGGAUUUUCCUGAAGAAUGGGCCAAAUGCCAAGCUAAGUUGGCAAGACAAGCCAAAGAAGCAGUGAGGAAAUUCAAUGAAGACUCUGCUGCUGCUACUGCCACUGAGGCCUCUGUCAAGCCAAGAAAAUCAAUGUCAAAGAAGCCCACUCACAAGCCAAGUGCUUCAUCAACUAUGCCCUCACGACCAAGUUCCUCAGCAAUGCCCUCACGGCCAGAAUCUUCAAAGCCCUCACGGCCAGAUUCUUCAAAGCCCUCACGGCCAGUUCCAACUACUGCUCCUCCUCCAAAGUCCUCAGCUGCUCCGGCAAAGUCCUCAACACCUGUACAUCUGGCCACGUGCCAAAGGACAACAAGCAUCUCUAUUGCCUCUGGUGCCUCAGCAAGUUCCUCAGCUGCACCAAAAUCUUCAUCAGGCCCCACUCUGCUGAAGACUAAGGCAACGGCUGGUCGAGGUCCUCGGCCAAGUCCGAAGAAGAAAUAGGUUGCCUUCCAAAUGCCAUCUGACGAUGAAGCUGAUGAUGAUGAACUUGCAGAAAUCAUCAGAGACCGACAAGAAAGGGCCGCUAGAGCCAAAGGCACAAAUGUGCCACUGCUUUUGGAUCCAAGGGCGAUCCUUGAUUACAUUGAUCUCUGGCACAAGGAUCCAAAUACUCCUAUGCCUGAUUUCAAUUUGACUCCUGGUCAAAGUCACAUGCUGACCCAUUUCAUCACUGAAGAGAAAUGGAAAUUUGAGAAGGCCAGGAAGAUCAAGAAGACUCAGUUCAGAAAGGAGAAGUUCCUGAAGAAUAACGUUGUCAAUAUGACAACUGAUGAACUCCUUGAGAUCCAAGCUGAAAUCAAAACCCUCAGCGAUGACUUCAAUGCUUACUAUGCUGAUUGGCAAGGAGCCAAAGUCAGGUUUGUGAAACUGACUGAGAAAUUCACAAAUAUUGCAGCCCCAUCGCAACAAGAAAUUCCUUAUGCUGAAGCAUCUGCUCAGCCAACUGAAGAACAUGCCAACACCGCUGAUGACAUUCAGGCUGCUGAAGAAAAUGCUAGUUCCAGGGCUGAUGACUCCAUUCCAACCGCUGAAGAAAUUGUCAGGACAUCCACUAGUGGUGAAACUGAAGUAGUCAGGGCAACUGCAUCAGUUGCACCUGAGGAAAUUCAACCAGAUUCCUCAGUUCCAUCUGCGCCUACCCCAACUCCAAUUCUUCCAUGUGCAUUCGAUGUGAAGAAGACCAAGGCUGCAGAGCGAGCUGCAGUGAAGAAAAGGAAAGCAUCCAGUGCUUCAGAAUCUUUAGCUCCAAAGAAGAUGAAGCCUCUGACAAGCUCUAUUGAAAAUCCAAUUGAUGUUGUUCCGAUUUCCACCAUGCCAUCAAAGGACCUUGUUGAUUUUGAUGAGGAAUAUGUGAUCCCUAGCGGAUCUAAUGAAGAACCUCAAUCUGCUGCUUCGUCAGAGCAGGUUGAUGAAGAAAUUGAAGUGGAUAUGAUCCCUUCAACGCCUGUUGCUUCCUCGCCAAUGCCUCAGUUCACAGCUGAAGAGGAUGGCGUUGAAGAAAUUGAAGAUGAAGACGUGGACAUUGGCUGCACAACGCCCAUGAUGAAUGUUGACUUUUGGGAAAGUCAGCACCCCAAUACUCCACUCUUCACCCCACUUCAACAACUACCUCAGUCCCCUGCACCAACAGUUCAAAUGGGCUCUGAAGAAACUCAUCCCACCUCGUCUGUGCAUGAAGACAUUCCAGCCGCUAGUGCUGAAGAAACUGAUGUUGCUGCUCCUUUGAACACGCAGACUGCCACUGAAGAGGAAUCAGAAAUUCCUUAGCCCGAAGAACCUGAGAUUGCGAUUCUAGAGGUUGUGAUGCAACUCACUGACACUCCCGUGCCCAAGCCAAUGGAUCCAUUCUCAAAGAAGCAAAAGUUCAAGGCUGAAGAUUUCUUCAGCGAGCAUGUAUUCUUCACAGAUUACAACCCCUAUGACUUUGCUCACAUAAGGAAGAGGCGUUUCUGGACUGCUAGUCAAGCCAAUUUCUAUUCCUCAGUACUGUUCAACAAAGACAAAGUCUUUGAUCAUGAACAUAUUCCUCAUGUGGACAUGGAGUCUCUGCCGUGCUUCGAGCCAGUCCUCAGUGUUCUUCACGAUGCUGGAUUGCUAAAUUUCUGCACUGACAUCUGUGACUGGAAUGAAGAACUCAUUCUUCAAUUCUAUGCAACGCUGCACAUCACAGGAAACUCUGAAGAUGUGAAUUCAUGGGUGAUGGACUGGAUGUCUGAAAAUACUCACUACAAGGCACCAGCAACUGAAUUGCUUCGUGCCCUCCCACUCAGUCCUCCCCUUGACGAUGCUCGUUGCGUCUACAGUGAACCUGAACUUUCAAAUCAUUUCAUGCAAGUGCUGAUGAAGCCUUUGAAGCCAGGGUAGGCUCCUCGAACCAAAUUCCUCGUCAAGGAAUUACUAUAUGUGCCCCGGACUGUCUAUCGCAUUCUGACAAAGACAAUGAGUCCAAUCAAAGGCCACGACUCAAAUGAUGAAGAGGUCGUUGGCAUCAUGAAGAACAUGCUUUUCAAUAUCAUUCAUGGCGUUCCCGUCAACUUCCAUGAUUUCUUCAUGAGGACUCUGGCGAAUAUUGCUAUGUCACCAUUUGAGCUGAAGCCUUAUGCACCAUGGAUUAUGAGAUUCAUCAGAACAAGGGCUUCACUAAAUUAUGACACUUUGAACCACGGCAGCUACUUGCCUCCGAUUGAAGUCCUCAAACAGACAUAUUCCUCAGCUGAUGACAAAGGCAAGGCAACUGAUGUGAUAGAUGAAGGCAUUCGUCCAUUGGAUGGUCAAUUUUGCAAGGCUGCAUCCUACUCCACCAAUGAUGACUCUGCCACACAUGACUCUGCCACCAAGCAAAAUCCUCAAGCCACAGCUCCCAGGGUGAUGACUGAUCGUGAGUUACUCCUCAGUCUUCAUCAGAAGGUUGAUCGCAAUCAUAAAUGGGUCAAGCGUCAGUUUGGUUCAAUUCUUCACAACAUGACCUCAACACACAAUGCAGUGAAGAAAAACCACUACUACCUCCAUGAAACCUUCAACCGUACCUGGGUUGUUCUAUCUCAUGUCUACAACGCUGCAGAUAUGAAGAAUAUGGGUCUCAAGGAAGAAUUUGACUGGUCUGCGCCUCCACCGAAGAAAUUCAAGAAGGUCAAAGUUCCUUCCUUGGUGGCCAGCUCCUAUUCUUCAUCACGCGAGACUGAUGAAAAUGAAGAUUUGGACGACACUGCGGCAUGCCCUACUACGACAACCGACCCCAACAAUGCUGGCGCUCCUCCAUCAACUUGAUAUUCUUCAGGGGCGUUAGUCCUUAGUUUCGAAUUUUUUGGUCAUUCGAUGACAAAGGGGGAGAAAUUUGAGUUAGUCUUCAAGCGGGCACCAUAUUUAUUGGAUCGAGUUGUUAACUUAAACCCGAUGGUGCUCUGAUACUUUUGAUGCACUGUGAUCUGAUACUCUUGAUGCGUUAUUCUGCAUGCUUGUUCCUCAUUAAUAUUAUUGCACGCAUGCUGAAUUUCAUCAGGCACCAUACUUCAUCAUGCAUUUCAAAUUCUUCAUAUUAUAUGUCAAAUGCAUGUAUGAAUUACAAGAUAUAGGGGGAGAUCUCCAUGAUUCAACUCUUCAAGUGUGCAUUGCUUCAAAAGCAAAUUCCUCACUAUGCACAUCUUUAGGGGGAGUUCUUCUAUAUCUUGCAAUCGAAUUCCUCAAUAUCAGUACUUACACUUCACAUGUUUAUCCCCGUUGAAAACUUAACCUAUAUUGUCAUCAAUCACCAAAAAGGGGGGGAUUGUAAGUGCAUCUAGUGCCCCUUAGUGAUUUUGGUGUAUUGAAGACUUAUAGAUUAAGGGACUAAUGUGUUGUGAGAGUACACAGGUCUAUAAGUCUAUGAGGAGUUUGAUAUUUACAGGGAAAGUCGACCCCUAAAAAUGAAUAUCUUCGACUGAAGAUUUUGGUAUUUCUGAAGACUUUCAUGAAGACUUUGAAAGUGAAAAAAUUGGUGUAACCGUGAAGACUUGAUAUUCAUGCGAGGAAUAUGAAGCUUGAAGACUUUUGUUUUCAUAGUUUUGUUUUUCUCUUUCUUAAGUCAUAGGAAACACCGUACUGUUAAAGGGGGUCGAGGAAAUACUAAGGAAAAAUUUCCAAGUGCUGCUCAACUCAAAAUCCUACACCUACCAAACCCUUCAAGUGAAGCCUUUGGAAAUCUCAUACAGUUCAGUCAAUUUCUUCAGUGACAGAGACGAAGUUCUUCUGGUCAUUGAGGAAUUUGUUCUGAUUGAGGAGUUAGGAAUUCGCCAGUGCGGAUUGCCUACACAGUGAGGAACAUGAUAGCCCUGAGGAAUUUGAUAGUCAAAUUUCCGACCGUUGCUGUGCUACGCGCCAGCUGUCCCAAAAUAUCAAUCCACCUAACGGUCAUAUCAGACAAGGGCAUUUAUGUCUUAUCAUGUUAGGCUGCUCCCUAGGCUAUAAAUAGCCGCCCCCUACAACCACUAGCUGGUUGGUUGCUCCAAGAGAAACUGACACUUGUCAUUUGAGAGCAACCCAUCCUCCGAGGACUUUGAGCGAGAAUCAUCGAGCGAGGAAAAACCCCAAACCCAAACACCUACAAACCCAAAGUGAUUGAGCAUCACUGAAGAGAUUGAUCCUGCGUGGAUCCGACGCUUGUUUCCUUUGAAGACGGUGCUUCUUCCAAACGGUUAGGCGUCAUGGUCUAGAGCAUCCAAGAGGAAUUGUGGAUCGCCGAGUGACCGAGUCUGUGAAGGUUUCGAAGUCGCCUGAAGACUUACCACGAGUGAUUGGACGAGGUCUGUGUGACCUUAGUUCAAGGAGAAUACGGUGAGGACUUGGUGUCCUGAGCUACGUGCUCAGCGACUGGGUGUCCGGGACUGUGUGUCCUCGAGUUUAAAUACUCAGCCGCUCCAACCAGACGUACAACUAAGACAUCAAUUGGAACUGGUCUACCAAAUCAUUGUCUUCACCAACCUUACUGGUUCUAUUUCCUCAACUCUUUCAUUUCCUCAUUACUGUGUUGAGUGAUUGUUCAUAUCUGUGUUUGAAGACUUUGACUGAAGACUUUCUCAAUUUUCCCAGUUUAAUUUCUUCAGUCUGUUUGUCUUCAUCUUGUGUUAUCUUGUGUUUAUGCUUCCUGUAAUCUGUGCUUGUCUUCAUUUCAUCAUGAUGACUAUGUCUGUAUCCUGUUAUGCUUACUUCUGAGUACUUAUUCCGCUGCUAGUAGUUCUUCGCUAAGGAAUUUCCUCACCGGCAAAUUCCUCAGUGAAGAAUUCAUAAAAAUCGCCUAUUCACCCCCCUAGUCGAUAUAACGCACUUUCAGUACUACACUGAUUAGUAGUAAAAAAUUCUUCACUUUUGCGGGUGGGGGGGGGAUGCUCCGCCAGUGCCAACAAGUGAACACUGGAAUGUGGCAACUAAGUGCUUGUAAUUUGGUAGCUAAAAGGUCGGGACAAAGCACAAGGAGAAAUGUGAAGAGUAAUAGUCAGUGGUGCAAGUGACAGGGAGAUAUUUUGGUGCACUAUCGCACGGGCCUACACAUCCCAGCAGAAGCUCAAAGCGCUGAAUUUCACAGGGACGCACGGAAGAUUCUCUAAAGUCGUCGUGUCGGCGGACCGCUGAAAGGAGACCGCGACCAAGCCCCCCCUCCUUGCGCCGCCGGCCACUCCGGCCGCUACGGCCACCAAGCCCCGUUCCUGCCCGCUCGUGGCAGGGGCGCCACCCUCCUGCGACCAUGCGUUCGCCUUCCCCCGCCCGCUCGGACCGCUCGGUGCGCUCGCAUUCCAGCGGGGUUUUCGGCUGGUGCACCCCUCUUCCGCAUCAGCUCUAGUCAAAUCCACCGGUCCAUCACAGGUUCCGGACUCUUUACCGCCUCCGCUGUCGGCAAUGGCUUGUGCGGUGCCCCCGGCGCGCAUCCUGCUGCGGGGGGAGUGCUCCAAGGUGGCGCCUACGUUAUCCCCCUCGGUCCAUGCCGAGCAUCCCCGUUUUGGGAAGAGCAAGCUGAAAUCCAUUGUGGUAUUGCCGUCCCCCUCGCCGCGCGUUUCCUCUUCGGGCGAUGGGGAUGGAUGGACGGCGGUCAGUUCGCGGAAAGCCCGGCGCGCAGCCAUUAAGGUUGUAGGAUAGACUGCCGCGACCCGCUGCGUUGCAUCAUCUGCAAAGAGCCGGGGCAUUUCGGCCGCGAGUGCCCGCGCAAUCCCAAGCGCAAGGGGUGCGCCGACCGCCCGGCCCGUCCUCCUCAGCGCGGCCCCGUUCGCGAACGGCUGUGUUUCCCCUCGCUGUCUCCCCUGCCCCCGCCGCCCUCGCCGCCGCCGCCUGUCAUGGCUGCCAUGGACCGUGAGGCAUUCCACAUCGACGCGUCGCGACGCCCCAGAUCGAGCUUCAAGAUGGUGAUCAGCACGCCGGCCACCGAGCAGCAGGAGUUCCUUCUCCGCAAGCAUGUCAUGCUGCUCACGGCCGCAACGGCACGCCACGCGGCCAAGCCCAUGUCAGUGGGCAGGGGCAUCAAGGAGCAGCUUCGCUCCCCGCCCCACCUGCUGCGCAUGACCAGCCACGACCCGGAGGACUUCUUCGUCUACUUCGAGCUCCCAGCGCACAAGGAGAACGCGGUUCGCCGUGGGUUCAUCACGGUCGACGACAUCGAGUUCAAGAUCAAGGGGUGGCGCGAGGACGACCACGAUGUGCCGGACGACUGCAAGCUGCACGUUUGCAUCGUCAUCGAGAAGAUGCCGAUGCAGGUAUGGUUUCUCGAGGGCGCGGGCGAGGUGCUCGGCGACCUCUGCAUCAUCGACAGGCUUGACACUCGCACCCACGAGCGCGGUCACACCAGGAAUUUCGCUUGCUGGGUGUGGGUCAGGGACGUCGCCCAGAUUCCCACCAAGCGCACGAUCUGGAGGGCGACGCGGGGAGCCGGCAGGGUGGAGGCCAUGCUCGACUUCUCGCCGCCCAGCCGUGAGGUGGCACCUCCACCAAGAGUCAUGCUGCGGGAGAUGCUCGUGCACGUGGACCGCAUCGAGGACUGGACUCCGCCGUCGCCAUGUUCAUCCCGCUCACGCCAGAGCGGGCUCCCCUCCUCCGAGUCCAACAACGAGCGCGCCCCCUUCCCCGUGAUCUACCCGGGGACCUGGUCCAGGCAUGUUGAAGACGGACAGGGCCGGCGCCAGCAGCCUGCGGUGGCCUUCACUAGUUGCCAGGGGCUGCAGCUGGGUGGACGCCACCGGGACCGCGACGAUCAUGACCAAGAUGAAGGCCGGGGCGGGCGCCAUUCAUGGAAGGACACGCUCCUCGGCCGCGGCCCCGGGCCUCGCGAGACCGGGUUCGUCAGGAAGACGCCUGCGGAGCCGAGGCGCUGCAGCAGAACGUUGGCAAGCCGUCGUCAGGACCUGGGCUGCCGGGGGCGGGAGGCCGUCAUCCGCNNNNNNNNNNNNNNNNNNNNNNNNNNNNNNNNNNNNNNNNNNNNNNNNNNNNNNNNNNNNNNNNNNNNNNNNNNNNNNNNNNNNNNNNNNNNNNNNNNNNNNNNNNNNNNNNNNNNNNNNNNNNNNNNNNNNNNNNNNNNNNNNNNNNNNNNNNNNNNNNNNNNNNNNNNNNNNNNNNNNNNNNNNNNNNNNNNNNNNNNNNNNNNNNNNNNNNNNNNNNNNNNNNNNNNNNNNNNNNNNNNNNNNNNNNNNNNNNNNNNNNNNNNNNNNNNNNNNNNNNNNNNNNNNNNNNNNNNNNNNNNNNNNNNNNNNNNNNNNNNNNNNNNNNNNNNNNNNNNNNNNNNNNNNNNNNNNNNNNNNNNNNNNNNNNNNNNNNNNNNNNNNNNNNNNNNNNNNNNNNNNNNNNNNNNNNUCCGCACUGAAAUGCAAGUUGGUGCCGUGACGCAGCAGAUCAUGCAGUUGCAGCUGGCCGGCGCCCCGCAAGCUGCACCCGCAUCAGCGCUCUUCCUCGCCCCUGCGCUGCCCCUGAUCCCGGGCGGCCCGUCCUUGUCCCCGGCGCCAGCUCCACGAAAGCGACCCGCUGCCCCGCCAAAAUCCAAGGCUGCCAGCGUGCCGGUGCGCCACAGCGCACGUCAGGCGGCCCUCAAUUCCUCGGUGCUGGUGGCGCAGCGUGCAGCGCUGCGGAUUGUCCAAGAGCUGGGCGGCCUCGGCCCAAAGGAGAGGAUGACAUUCAAGGCAGCGGAAGCCCUCGUCCGCCAUUUCAACGAGCCGCUCACUGAGGAAGACGUCGCGGCCAUUGCCAGGCUCACCCGUCUCAAUGUGGAUGCGCUUCGCGCCAUGGCCGGUCUUGCCGGGGCGGACGGCGCGGGAGAAGCUCAAGUGUAGUCAUGUUAGUCGUCAGUAGAAUUCGUGUUAGGUUCCGGAGGCGUCUGGCCUUUAGCUAGAUUGAGUUAGGAUUUAUGAUCAUGUAUGAUAGGACUAGUAGGAUCCAGCAUGUUUUGUGUGGUACUGGUGGUUGCUUGUGCGCCACAGAUUGUUUGGAGGAGUGUAAUCUGUUCUUCAGUUUAAUUAGAAAUCUUAGCCCCCGGAGAAAUGCUCUGUUUCCAAAUGAAUGACACCAACUGUGCAAUCAUGAGCUGGAACGUCAAAGGGCUAAACUCGCCAGCAAAGAGAGCAACGGUGAGCGGGGUAGCUAGCGCGCACAAUCUCGUCAUCCUCUUUCUCCAAGAGACGAAGAUUGAUGCCUGGUCGCCGAUGCUCGCCAGGGAGAUCGGUGGCAGCCGCUUAGAUGGGUGUGACGUGCUGCCGGCGAUCGGCACACGCGGUGGAGCUGCCAUAUUUUGGGACUCUUCGACGGCAACCUUGACAACGCAUAGAGUUGGUAGAUACUCCAUCACGGCCAGAGUUGAAUUGCUACACACAAAUUCAGCUUUCUGGCUCACCACCGUUUAUGGGCCGGUGGAUGACACUCGCAAAUAUGAGUUCUUGCAUGAACUGGCUCUGGCAACUUCCACCUGGCCAACCGUGGAUCCUCAACGGCGAUUUCAACAUCAUCUACGAAGCCAGAUAUAAGAGCAACACUAACAUAAACAGGAGGAUCAUGGGAAAAUUCAGAGCCGCAAUCGACCAAGCUGGUUUGCGAGAGAUAAAGUGCAAGAAUAGAAGAUUCACAUGGAGCAACGAGAGGGAGAACCCUACUUUGGUCAGCAUAGAUAAGUUUUUCUGUAAUGUGGAAUGGGAGGACCUUCACCCCAAGCACACGUUGAUGGCGGCAUCGACGGCUUGCUCUGAUCACUGCCCACUGCUGCUUGGGAAUGCGGAGGCCCCUCGGUGCACUGCUCGCUUUCGUUUCGAAAGUUUCUGGCCGCGCUUCCCGCGGUUUCAUGACACAGUGGCUAGGGCUUGGCAAAGGCCAGUAAACCACGACUAUCCGUUUGUUAGGAUCAAGACCAAGCUGCGACGAACUGCUGCUGACCUGAAGAUCUGGGCCAAGACACUAUUCAGUGAUACAAAGAUGCAGUUCCACUUGGCAACAGAAACCAUCCCGCAGCUAGAUAUCGCGCAAGAGAAAAGGACACUCACACCUUCAGAAUUCAAUCUACGGAAGUUGCUCAAAUUAAAGGUAGUCGGCUUAGCUGCCCUCGAGCGCGCAAGAAAAUGGCAGGCCUCUCGGGUGGCAUGGUUGAAAGUAGGGGAUGCAAAGACAGCGUUUUUUCAGGCCAAGAUCACCUCUAGAAGGAGAAAGAAUUUCAUUCAGAGUUUGCAAAAGGGGGACAUACAAGCAAUAUCACAUGAUGAAAAGGCAAAUAUGAUCCAUGAGCACUUCCAAGAACUCCUCGGAGAGAAGAGAGCGCGUGCAUGCACCCUGAACUGGGCUGCACUGGAUUUGCCGAGUUUGAAUGCCCAGGGCCUAGACAACCCUUUCUCUGAAGAUGAAGUGUGGGCGGCAGUAUGCGCCUCGCCAGCAGAAAAAGCACCGGGGCCGGACGGUUUUUCAGGCGGCUUCUUCAGAUCAUGCUGGCAAACAAUAAAAGAAGACGUCAUGGCAGUGUUCCACAAAUUCCAUAGCUUGGCUGCGGGUGAUUUUGUGGCUAUCAACAAGGCUCUGAUUGUGCUCUUGCCAAAGAAAAAUGGUGCAACCCAAGUAGGGGACUAUCGCCCAAUAAGUCUCAUUCACUCAGUGGCAAAGUUGAUCGCCAAGGUGCUAUCGAUCAGGCUCUCAAGUGUCAUGAGCCAGCUUAUUUCACCUAUGCAGAACGCUUUACAAAAGAAAAAAGGAAUUCAUGACAACUUCUUAUAUGUCUGCAACACAGUGAAGCACUUACACUGCAAAAAUAAGCCAGCUCUGCUCCUCAAACUAGACAUCGCUAGGGCUUUCGAUAGUGUUUCAUGGGAGUACCUGCUCGAGCUGAUGCAACAGCUUGGACUCCCGGCGAGGUGGCGAGACUGGAUCGCCCUGCUCCUGUCGACAUCAUCCUCCUCCUGUCUGCUAAAUGGCAUCAAAGGUGACAGCAUUCGUCACAUGAAGGGCCUACGCUAGGGUGAUCCGCUAUCCCCCCUCCUCUUCAUCCUCGCGAUUGACCCGCUUCAGAGACUGUUUGAGGCCACGACGGCGGCUGGCUAGCUGCAGCUGCUCCCCGUCCGGGCUGCUCGACUGCGCGUCAGUCUGUACGCCGAUGAUGCUGUGGUUUUCGCCAAUCCACAGCGCGAGGAGGUCGACAAGAUUCUAGGGUUGCUGCAGGGCUUUGGAAACGCCACCGGCCUGCACCUCAACCCAGCAAAAUCAUCAGUGGCUCCAAUACGAUGCGACAGAAUCGAUCUUCAGCAAGUUCUGCAAAACUUUGGAGGGCAGAUAGUCGGCUUCCCCAUUACAUAUCUAGGCAUCCCAAUUACCCUUGGAAGAAUUAGACUAGUGCACAUCCAGUACAUUCUGGAUAGAAUUAGAGCCCGGCCGGCGAGUGCUUGUUAGGAGCAUGCUCUCAGCGCUCCCUGCGUUUGCACUCGCUGUGUUGCGCGUGCCGCGAAGAUUUCUCAAGGAUAUCGACAAGACACAGAGAAGAUUCCUUUGGGCACAUGACGAGGAGAUGUCAGGGGGAAAGUGCAAGGUUCAAUGGCCAGUCGUUGCUUCGCCGGUGAACCGCGGUGGUCUAGGCAUCCCUGACCUUGAGCGAUUCACGCGCGCGCUCAGGCUGUGCUGGCUUUGGCUGGCUUGGAGGCACCCGGACAGGCCAUGGGUGGGGCUUGGCACGCCGUGCGACGAGAGGGAUCAAGCUCUCUUUGCCUCUGCCGCCUUGGUCACCAUCCGAAGCGGCGCAACGGCCUCUUUCUGGCGAUGCCACUGGCUGGGAGAGCGGCCUCUCUGUCUCGCAUAUCCGGACCUAUUCAAACACUCCUCCCGGAAGAACAGGAUGGUCAUGGAUGCUCUUCAAGGGGAGAAGUGGAUUCAAGACCUGCGGCACGGCAACCUUGCCGACAUCCUUCCUCGGUUUGUGCACUUGCAGUGCGCGAUCCGGUUGGCUGGGAUUAUAUUGGAGGAUGGAGUUCCGGACGAGAUCAAGUGGACAGCAGGUGGAGGAGCAGAGUACUCAGCGCGCUCGGCCUAUGACCUGUAGUUUGCUGAUCGCCCUGCGACGAACCUCCAGACGAUAGUUUGGAAAGCCUGGGCCCCGAGGAAGAUGAAAUUCUUCAAUUGGCUGCUGCACCAUGAUCGCCUAUGGUGCAAUGAUAGGUUGCAGCGCCGGGGCUGGGUAAACAACUAUUUUUGCGCCCUCUGCAACAGAAACAUUGAGUCCUCCGUCCACCUCUUCUGGGAGUGUUCGUUUUCGAGAGCAGUAUGGGGUCAGGUGGCAACAUGGAGUGGUUGCGCUGCGCUCAACCCAAGCAGCCAGACGCGCGGCCGUGCGACCACGCAAAUCGUCCAAGACUUGCUCGCCGGGACAACGCCAAGGACAACGAAAGGGCUGAGGUCGAUCAUCAUCAUCACAACCUGGUUCAUCUGGCUGGCGAGAAAUGAGUGCACCUUCAGAGGAACCCAGCCAUGCACACGCACAGUGACCAGCCAAAUCCGGAGUGAGCUUGAGCAAUGGCGUUUGUCAGGAGCAACCUGCUUAGUGACCCCUUUCGGGGAUCAAAUCGUGAGAGUGUAGAAAUUAGUUUGCCUUUUUGUCUCUGUUUUUCUCUUCAGAGAUGAUUGCAGCAGCAUCAGUCUGUUGAUGGCCUCGCCGCUCUCCUGGUUCUCUCGUGACCAGUGAGAAGAACACUUUUUUUGUCACCCUCUCCUGUUAAAUCAAAUGAAAAGCCAGCAAGAUGCUGGAUCUUUAAAAAAAAAAAUAGGGACGCACGCAAAAACGCGAUUAGCGGGUGUUGAUGCUUCACUCCGGGAACAAUAUUCAGCUCUGUAUAAUAUUGUGCGCCACAACGGUGAUACUAUUGCCACGGUUAUGGAACCAUUUCCGUCAAAUGUGAUGUUCAGAAGAGAUUUAAUUGCGAAAGUACUAUUGUGAUCCCGAGCAGCAGUGAUCCUGUUAUCUGUACCGCAUGAUUCUCUCAUUUUUUUUGAGAAUCUCGCAAAGCUUUAUUACUGAAUCAUAAUGUUCAUAGGUACAAAAAGAAGAUCGCCGGGUUGGCCUAGCCAGGUGUGUCGGCCAAACCCUAAAGAUAAUGCAUGCUUUGCGAGAUUAUGGGCCUCCGUAUUGGAGGUCCUAUACUCAUGAGUAAACGAACAUGAAGUAAAGUUUGUUGCUCUAGCCUUGAUUUCUUCGACAAUGGCUCUAAAAUCUGCUGAGCUUCCCUGCCUGAUUGCAUCUACCACCACCUUGCAAUCAGAGGCCACCAGCAAAUGGUUGAUAUAGAGAUCUUCUGAAAGUGCUAAUGCCUCCUGAACAGCUAGUGCUUCUAGCACCUGUGGGUUGUGCAGUCCCCUGAAAACGAGAGCCGACGCUCCCAUGAACAAACCCCUCUCAUCCCUGCAAACCACACCAACAGCGCCAAACGUGCCCGAGCGUGACACGGCCGCGUCCACAUUGAGUUUGUGGUAAUUUGUUGGUGGCUGAAUCCACAUACGGGGUCGUGGUACUGCUACCCCAUGUGCUUCCUCCUUCUUCUUCAAAAACUCUAUAUCUGGUAAGUAAACUUUGAUGAAGUUGUCAGUGGCAAACGGAGUCUGGUAUAUAUCUUCAUGUAUAGCUUUCCUCCUCGCACUCCAAAUCGCCCAUAAAGUAACAACCAUCAACUGAAAUUGCUCCGGUGAAAGAGACUCAUUCAUAGCAAACAGCCAUAGCCGUGCGUCAGGUUUCGAAGUUGCCAACAUGUGCUCGACCAUCUCGGCUUCUGAAAGUGCCCAUACACACCUAGACACAUUACAUUCUAGCAAGGAAUGUCGCCAACUAUCCUGCCCUCCACAGAGGGAGCAAGCACUCGUAGUGGCCAUAUUGCGAUGGUUUAGGACAUCUCCCGUAGGGAGUGAGUGUUGCGCCAAUCGCCAGGUGAAAAAUCGCAGUUUCGGUGGCACUGGCAUGUACCAUAGCGAGUUCCACCCCCUCAUCUCAUGUUCAGAGUUGGAAGGAUCCUGCCUUUCCUCCGGCCAUGCCUCGCGCCCGAUCUUGAUCUUGACAAUCAUCUUAUAGGCUGACCAUACAGAAAAACGCCCCCUUGGAUCAUCAUUCCAUGCCCAGAAAUCGUCCACAUGCCGUGUACAGAGCGGGAUUUGCAAGAUUGCCUCCACAUCAAUAGGUAUGAACACUUGUCUAAGCAAGUCCUCUCGCCACGCAGCUCUGGUAAUGAUCAAUCAGAUCAGAAACCAGUUGCGGCGGGUCAGCAACCAAAGAGGCCACCGGCUUCAUCAUUCUGUGCCUUGGGAUCCAACUAUGUUGCCAUAUAUUCGUAGUAGUUCCAUCGCCAAUACGCCGGAUAGCUCCUUGGAUGAUAAUAUCUCUCCCAUCAAGUAUAGAUCGCCACACCUGAGAAGGAUGCGGACCUAGUUGAGCUUCAAGGACUGAACAUUGUGGGAAAUAUGAUGCUUUAAGGAUUUGUGCACUAAGAGAGGAGGGAUCAUUCAAUAAGCUCCAAAUUUGCCGAGACAAAAGUGCCAAGUGAAAAGUUUGGGAGGACUUGGCAUGAUUCUCUCAUGAUGCACACCGUCGGACGUAUGGGUCUAGCUCCAAUUUAAGUACUUGAUUUUUUAUCACGGCCCAUGGCCCACUAGUCGAAUGCACCUCUUGUUACCCCGUCACGCUCACGCAUGCCCGACGCGGAUCAGGAGGAGGCAGACGAUAUGAGCCGCCUCGACACAGAUUCUAGACUAACGCCGGCGCCUUGCAUGAACAGUGAACAUCCUAUGUGUUCACACGGUCUAAUUUGUGCAUGCAUGCAUGCUACAGUAGGACAAGUCGUUGAGUGGGCAACAACGCUUUUCCCUUAAUAAAUCCAUGCAUGCAAGCCGUAUUUAUUUAUUUAAUAAUCCCAACGCCCUAACAUAACAAUGCAUGUACGACCGCCAAUCAGCUAGACUAUCUCAUCAUUAACAGGUGGAAGCGAACUCAUGCGUGGCCCUUAAUUAUCUGACAGGGAUGAAACCACUGAAGAUUUAGACUCAGCUUGGCUGAGACUGUGCCCAUUGAUUCACUGACGCCUCUGAAGCUCCAUCUGCCUGAGAUGUGCAAAUCAUGGGCGUCUAAAGAUAAAGAGGUAGAGGUGUAAGCUGGCAAGACUGAAGUCAGACUUACCUCUAACGACAGCACCCGCCUAACAAUUUUUACAUCUUCCUGGCUUACGAGGCUGUUUUGGCACGUCCCCGCGAUCAGGGCAGGUUGUCUGACUGUGACCCUGUCCCCGACGAAUCGUGCAAAAAUGCAUUUGUAAUUAGAUUCACAUAUGACCCAUUAAUAGCAGCUUACUCUAACAGAAUUCAUCCCAUUUUUAUGCAUACAGUUUACAAACACAUUUUCUUUAUACGCCAUAUCUUUAUUCAGCAGAUAAUCGUGCAGCCAUUCCAUGUCCUCGCUUCAUGCCACCACACUCUCGUACACCUCCCCCCAUAAACUGCCUGCUCUGUUUUCACUUAUCUGAACUAGUUUACUCAAAGGGUUCACUGACAGCAAACAUGACUACUUAUUCAGUCCAUACAAGAAACAACCUGCAUCCGCGUGCUGAAUCCAGUUUCAACAACUGUACUAAUCUAGUACUAUCUCUGUUUGUUUUUAUAAGACAUUUUAGACUUUCAGACGCUGUUCAAAAACAGCACAAAGCAAGUUGUCUGAACGUCUUAUAAAAACAAACGGAGGGAGUACAAAUUUAGCUAAUGUCUACAGGGCGUGGCAGGCGACCAUACCUUCGUCUCCAUCCUGGGUGAGUGCUCAGAUGCUUGUGGCCGGUCUGCACCCUCGCCUGUUCCCACAGCAGUCGCCGAGCAGAUGAGCGCUCUGCACUUGAUACACUCGCCGUCGGCAACUCCCCGGCCGGCAUCGACAGAACAGGAUAGCGAAGAGGCUCCAUUGGUAUGUCGCUGUCAUUCACUUCCUCUAUCAGCGUUCUACUGCACGAACACACCCACGACAGGAAAAUUCAGAUCUUGCAGGAAUUACAAACCCAAAUCAAUCUAGGGCCGACGAAGCAGACACAAGGGGCAAGAGUCGCACCUGUUGACCGGCUGCAGCAAGAACUCCAUGGCCGCCGGAGCCGCGUCACCGCAACCCUAAGGGAUGGAGCCGCCGCCGCUGAGCCGCUCUUUUGCAUUUACUGCACCACAAUGACGUCGCUUAGCACGCUUGAAUCACGGACCAGAAAUUCGCUCAUGUCUCGAGCCACGGCUCUGACGCCCGUUCUCGACGGCCUCGAAUAGCCACGCACUUAAGGUCCACCGUCCAGGAGAUUUUUCUCAUUUUCCUUCUCGUUUCCACGCUGUCUGAUGCUCCUGACACCGGCCCCAUCUGUCCGACAAAACGAAUCACGAAGCUAUAUUCGGCGGGACAGAUUCCAAGAGCCUGUGUGCUCGUGAUCAAUUCCUCCGUGUUCAUUUAAUUAGACCUAGACGCCAAUCAUGAAACACCCUACUCCAGCGGUUAUCCACACUGCAAUUGUCAUAAGGUUCCGAUGAAUUUCGUUGGAACCUACAAGGGAAUGGUCAAUUCUCAGUGAAGUCCAUGUACAGAGCCUUGCUCCAAUUCAAUGUGCCAGUUCAUAAUAAUAAGAAGAUCUGGAAGAUGAAAAUACCUCUUAAGAAUAAAAUCUUUACAUGGUAUCUUCAUCGUAGAGUCAUUCUUACUAAAGAUAACCUUGUUAAGAGGAAUUGACAUGGAAAUACGUAAUGUGUUCUUUUAAUGUAAAUUGGCUCGUUCUAUAUGGUCAGUCAUCCAAAUAGCUUCUGGCUUGUACCCUCCUUGUAGCGUUGCUAAUAUAUUUUGCAACUGGUUACAUGGGAUUGAACACAAGUUCUCUCAUCAGGGCGGGAGCGUUCGCCAUUUUUUGGUCGCUUCUAUGUAGAAAUGUUAAGGUUUUUAACGGAAAAAGUACAUCUCUUAUGCAGGUUAUCUACAGAUGUACUGGGACGCUUCGUUUAUGGUCGUCUCUUCAGCGUAUGGAGAAUUGCGGCCUCUUUAUGGAGGUCUGUACACGAUUGGAGGCUACGAUGAGGGUUAUUUUACCCAACAUGGGUGGCAACAUGAUCUCAGGAUUGGCCCCCCUACGUCUUAGGCGUUAUACAAACACUAGAUAUUUCUUAGUAUUUCGUCUUUUUUUGUUUUUUUUCUGUGUGUAGACUUAUUUUGGCUGUGUGCAUUUUAGUAUGUAGAUGCCGGGUGUAAUGCUUAAAUCUUUUAAGUAAUAAAGCACCUUUUAUCGAAAAAAUAUCAUCUUGAAAAUUACGAAGUCACCAUAGGCGCCUCGUCGUCGACGGAAACGUUUUCUCCCACUAAAAACGCAUCGCCAGAAAUCCUAAAAUAAAUGCAGGAAUAAUGCUAGCACCCUGACUUGAACCCAGAUGGGAUGGGAAUACCAAUGUCCCUCUAACCAUCCAACCACAGCUUGGUUCGCUCGGGAGCAUUUGGUUACUACGCUUGACAAAGAUUGAACACAAUGUGGGGAAGCGGAUUUGUAGGCCCCAGUGCUCCACAACCCUAUACCAACAUUAAAUUUUUAAAAAUACCGAGAAAUUAAAAAAAUCUGAGAUUUUGGGAUAUCAAACCUGGGUCCCCAAUCUAGUCCAAUAUGGAAUUCGUGAAAAAAUUCAAGAAAACAUAUCCGUGGCAAAAAGGACAAAAAGUUUUAUGUAUAGAAAAAACCGUUUGGAUGGAUUUUUAUUCAGACAAUAUUUCCUCCCCCACGAAUAUGUUUCCUGAUAUUUUUUUCACGAAACUUCCACGUGAGUAGAUUAAGACCCUAGGUUUGAUAUACCCAAAUUUUAGUUUUUUUGGUAUUUUUUACGUUUAAUACUCUAUAGGGGUGUGGAGCACGCAGGAUCUCCUGUGUAUUUUCCCACAACGGGGUGGCUAUUUUAGCUCUGGGUGCAUAUGCUCCCCCAAUCCCUAAAAUAAAUGAAGUAAAAAAUAAACUUCAAAAGUUUUUGAAUUUUUUUUCCUGCAGAUUUUCUUGUUAGUGUAACAAGCGUGCUUGAAAAUUCCGUUUCUUAUGGACCAUGAAAAAUUUAGUCUUUUUAUCAUGACAAAUCCAAUUUGUAUAUGGAUCAUGGCAAUCUUUUCACUUUGUGCACCAUAGCAAAUGUAGAUUUUGCAGGUAGAAUGACAAUUUCACUAUUAAGACCAUGGAAAACAUGCAUUAACUAGGCAUGGCAAAAAAAUUAGACCAUGAUAUUUUUUUUGUAGGUAUUAUGGCAAUUCUUAUUAUUCAUACUAUGGCAAUUUUAUUAAUUAGAACGUGGCAACUUCAUUUUUUGCAACAUGGCAAAUUUUGUUUUCUAUGAACCCAUGACAAAUUAGUUUAUGGGGCAUGUUGAUCAUAGUUAUUGAGGCAUGGCAAAUACACAUUUAUGCACCCUGGCAAUUUUUAGUUCACGAACCAUGACAAACUUCUUUUCUUUCCAGGACCAUGGAAAAAAAUUGGACACUGGCAAACUUGUUUUUUAAUGUACCAUAGAAAAUUCACUUCAUGUAUCAUGGCAAAUCUUACAUUUUUCUAAAUAUUUCCGUGUUCUUUUAUAUAACAAAAUUUGACAUUUUUUAAAAUACCAAAAAUCCCUCGCUUUUGCCAUGCACCCAUCACCUAUCCCUUUUUUGCCAUGAAUGUUUGGAUAACAAAAUUCCUUAACUUGUUAUUUUUUAUUUUAUUUGUAGAUAGCAUAGCAUUUUUUUUUCUUCGUACAAUGUCAAUUGUACAAACAUGUUUGUCGAACACGGAUUGUCAGCGAUCUCAAAAUCAUUAUUUUGUGAUUCACUCCAAUCUUCCCUAAUCUUCCCUAAUAAUAAAGCAAAUAGUGUUUCUGGUCGUCCGUCGUCAGCAAUUUUGCAAAAUAGUCCUUCUCCUUUUUGUAUUCAACCCGCAGUUCAUUUUAAGUGGAUAUAUGAUAUACGUCGUUCUUACAAAAAGGACCCUGCGUUUCGUUAUUCGGUUGCUGGCGAGCGAGAUGAGCUGGAGGUCCAGGCUGGCCGCGAUGCAGACGAUGCCUGGCUCGGCGGAGGCGCGAGAGGAGGUCCAGCGGCGGAGCUUCAACUCCAAGUACAUGGCGGCGGCGUUCCUCGCCGGUUCCGAGUGAGAUGGGGCUGCGAUGCAGACGACGCCGGGCGCGGCGGCGGCAAUCUCCGGCAAGAUCCGGUCGAGGAGGCGAGGUAGGGGCCGGAUCCUGUUCCGGGGACGACAUGGAGGCGAUCUACAAGGCACGGGAGGAGGUCCAGCGGCGGGGCUUCAACUCCAACGGGCCCCCUUUCGAUGGACGCGGCCGCCCACAUCGCCGGCGACUCCCCGGAGGCCGACAGGGCCUCCUCCCCCGCGUCCUCGACCGACUCGGCCUCCCGGCGCUCCUUACCGCGGAAGGGGAUUCACCUGCGGCGGCGCCGGCGACUGUUGUCCGCUCGGAUAUGAGAGGGAGGCGAAGGCGACGGCAAGGGCGCUGGUGACGACGUGCAGGACCUCGCACUGCCGCCGGGGAUGUCCUUCACGGCGUUUCUUGCCCAGGUGAGCGUCCACUCCUCCCGGUGUUCGUCAUGUGUUCUCCCUCCCCCUCUGCGUGUCCUGUUCGCUAUUCUCAUGUUGCUUUUGUUGCAGCCAGAGGCUCAACAUCAGGGGCCGCGUCUACCCGGCGAUCCUCCCCGUCGACGGCAACAAAGUCCCUGCAAAGAUGCGUGCAAUCCCACGCACACACAUCCCAUAUACUUGGUGUUAAUUUCUUAGUUUGUCCACUGCAAGUUAAGAUGUGAACAAUGGCGAGUGCUGUCAAUAUGGAACGAUUGAAGUGCAGAACGAGUGACAAUCUGUUCAUGUCUCUAGGCUGCAGGUUUGGAAGGGGAUCACUGAUGAGGAGCUCGAUGUGCUGGACACAUUUGAAGAUGAAGAGUAUGUGAGGGAAGCUGUUGGCACCUCACUGACCGUAAGUCCAUUCGCCGGUCUAGGUCUCUGCUUCAGCUCAUGGUAGCCGGAUUCAUGCCGACCUGCAAAAUUCAGAGGAAUGUUUAGCUCAAAUCAGUUAUCUUGACACCCCUUUUCAUGAUUGAGCCUUCUGCUUUGGGGCACGCAGAUAGAACUGCUAUCAAUUGGUUUUGUUCUAUCAUGAAAGACCACUUUUCGUUUGGCACUUAGAGAGCAAUUCUUCACUAGGCUGUUCCACGGAAAGAAGAUUGAGUACUUCGGAUUUGCAGGAUUCGUCAGAUACAAUGAUUGCCUAUGCAUACAUAUGGGGAAUGUGGAUGAUCCUGACCUCUAUAGUGAAUGGGAUUUUGAUGUGAGUAUUUCCCUUCAUGCUAAUCGUAAGCAUUUUUCGUAUAUUGAUUGAAAGGCAGACAAACACCACCACUAUCUAACUAAGCGCAUGCACCAAUCUGGUGAUGCUAUGAGAAGCAAAGCUGUUGCAAUAUAUGUUUAUUAAAUUACAUGUAUAAUGCUACUGUUUGUUAAACAGUCUCCAUUUUCUCAGCUGGCCCAAUACUUUUGGUGAUCAGAAUUUUGGUACGAAGAAUAACAUCACUAAUUUACUUGCUCUAAGAAAAGCACAUGCUUGAUUUCCUGAAUAUGUCCCUAUGUGCUGCCAAACGGUAUAUGCUGUUUGGCAAUGUCUUAUUUUCUUUGGAUUCCCGGGGCAUAUUUCAGUAGUAUCCGUUCAAGCACUAACCUGUACUACUAUGCUGCUUCUCCAUCACUUCUGGUUCGUGAAGGUCAAUGGCCCGCCGAGGCGAGGGAUCUCGGGUCGCCGUCGCUCUUUGGGAGCUCCCUCUCCUUCCUGCCUUCUUACAGUGGUGCCAGGGACCAACGGCCGGACGCCAGCACGACGGAGCUACUGUGCUGCUGCGUUUCCUCAGGUUGUUCGGGCGCGUCGUCGGUCCUAGCCACCCAUCAUCAAGAUCCGACGUCCUCUGUCCUUUUUUCCGAUUGAUGUGAGUAAGCCUCCACUACCCGCUUCCAACUCUGUAAAAUUUGCUGCUGUAGUUGGCAUGAGAGGCGCCUUGAUGCAAAGCUACAGGUUUGCAUAGGUGCUGCUGGCUGCUGCCCCCUUGCCCCCUGGCCAGCAGGGUUGUCCAUGAUCAGGGCCCCCAAGCAGCCAAGCUAAGGAGUAACAUGCCGCAGCUUCUGCCCACCACUAUGUAUGAGACAUGUAAAUCUAGGAAGCUGCAGGUUUGUGCGACAGUCAUGCUCACGAUGUGUUUUUUGAAAUGCUUUCAUGUAGAUUGAUGUUUAUAUAUUAUAAGCAUUUGUAAAAUGUUCAUGUACAAUGCAGUAUGCAACAAUAAAUCACAUCUCCCAGCAAUGGCUACGUACCAUUACUCUUAUCACCUUAGACUAAGUUGUAUGAAUUAGAUGGCUGAGCACUUAUGUUUUUGUAGUAGGUUCUGUGUCCUUCGCGCACAUAAAAUUCAGAAAUAAAUUUGGUACAUGGCUGAUUGACUUUGUUCGUGUGGAUUAUCAGUUUACCAGCAAUGAUGGACUUUGUUUACGUGGAGUACCAAUUUAGCAGCAACUCUGUUGUAACUUUGGCAACACAACCAACAUCAAGUGUCACACUGGUAGUCUAGGGUCAGUUCAAAAUUCGAAUUAGAGAUAGUUUGAUCUACGUGUAGUUCAUCGUCCAUUUCUAAAUCACCAAGGAUUGAUUUUAUUGACACAAGAUUCUCUACCUGUUGUUUUCUAUUAGGUAAAAACAGUUAUUGGCUCCUCUUGUAAUCUACAAUAAGUAUCCCUUUUGACACUCAUUUAAAUAGAAUUUUUUAUUAUUACUGUGGAAGCAGAAACACACUUGAGAAGGAUUUCAUUUAGUAUGUACUUUGAGUUUUCA